UACUCUCAACCCCUGGGGUCUUUUAAACGGACCAUCUCGGGCUUGGAUCAUGGACGCUGCCGGCCCUCUCGGGGGUGUGGCUCGUCUGAAAUACAUGAGCUGACCUGUCUGCGAACAGCACGGUUUGACUCGGCGUAAUAAAUCCAUUUUUUAAAUCCAUUUUUCGUCGGGGACACCCUUUGCGGGGUGGCCGGGGCUCGCGGUCUUCGGGUUGCUUACAAUCGAAUAGUCCCAUCUAU
rnacentral:misc_RNA from 1 species